rnacentral:lncRNA from 1 species
UGGGAAAGCAAUUUCCUUGUGCAUUUCCAGUAAGUCAAGUAGGAAGAGCCACCCCUUCACCUCCUUAAUCCAGUCCUGGAGAUUCCACAGAAGGGAGGGCAUUAAUCAAUUAAAGUACAACCAAUUGAAUAAAAACCAUAAAAAAACUGUAUAAAGACGGUAUACAUGCUGUGACUCUCAUGUGUGCGCAAGAGAAAGAAUAAUCAUCCUGGGUGCCACAGUAGAUGAAAGAAAUUUAACUAGAUCCCUUUCUUCUCCCAUUUUACCUGUAAAAACCAGAGAACAACUCUGCCCAAUCAGUAUGUUUAAGCUAGAGAAGAAAGAAGAAAAGAAAGAAGCAAGAGAGAAAGAAAGAAAGAAAGAGUAAGAAAGAAAGAAAGAAAGAAAGAAAGAAAGAAAGAAAGAGAAAAAAGAAAGAAGGAAAGAAAGGAAGAAAGGAAGGAAGGAAAGAAAGAAAGAACAACAGAAGAAAAUAAGAGAGAGAAAGAAAGAGGAAGAUAAAGAAUGAAAGAAGAAAGAAUGAGUGAGAGAAAAAAAUAGAGAAGAGAAAACUAAAGAAGGAAGAGAGAAAGAGAGAGGAAGAAAGAGAAAGAACAAGAGAAGAAAGAAAGAGACGACAGAAAGAAAGAGAAAAAGAAAGAAAAAGAGAAAGAAAAGCUUUUUUGACAGCAAGGGUGGGAACAUCUGGUAUCCUCUGAGCAUACGCUCCUCAUCUCCAGUAGCUUCCAGCCCUCAAGUGACUCCUGAUUGCAAAUAACAAAAUCAUCUCUAAAGAGCAGCUCCAGGACCCUGGAGCAAGUUUCAGUUCUAAAGGCCCCUGCAUUGGGCAGUCACCUGCACUUCUCAUGGCGUGGGACAGAAAGGACUCAUGCUCGGAGCUGGCACGUCCCUCCCUCUGGUCCUACAUCUCAGCCAGGGGAUCUAAAACUCUCAGAGUAUGUUUAGUGCUGGAAGGCCUGAGCAGACUGGCCCAGGACUCUUCAUUUCCACAAGGAGAAGGGGCAAGGUACAGAUGUGGAUAUAGAAUCAGAUCAGAAUUUUCUUGGCAGUUUCAGGAAUUCUGA